GGCUGCCUUAGUCAAGUACAGAGGUGAGGUGGAGCAAGAUGGCAGAAUAGAAAGCUCCUUUGAUGGCCAUCCCCACAACACAGAAAAAGCACCUUCAUAAGAACCAGAAAUCAGUUCUGGAGGCUAGAAAUUCGAAAUCGAGAUGCCAGUAGUGUUGGUUCCUUAUGGAGACUGUGUGAAAAGGCCUGUUUUGUGCAACUUCCAAGUCAAGAUUAUGAACAUUUUCAAACUUUUUGCAAGGCAGAAUUCAAUGGGUUAACAAUCAGUUUUGUAAGUAUGUAUCUCAGUAGAGAGGUACAUGAGUUCCUAUUGAUCAAAAUAUCAAUUUAACAUACAUAAACUGUUCAAUCAAAUGCUUGA